rnacentral:rRNA from 1 species
GGAAUCUUCCACAAUGGGCGCAAGCCUGAUGGAGCAACACCGCGUGAGUGAAGAAGGGUUUCGGCUCGUAAAGCUCUGUUGUUAGAGAAGAACGUGCGUGAGAGUAACUGUUCACGCAGUGACGGUAUCUAACCAGAAAGUCACGGCUAACUACGUGUCAGCAGCCGCGGUAAUACGGGGGAUGCUAGCGUUGUCCGGAAUCAUUGGGCGUAAAGAGUUCGUAGGUGGUUUGUUAAGUUAGGUGUUAAAGGCGUAGGCUCAACUUACGUAUGGCACUUGAUACUGGCAGACUUGAAUGCGGUAGAGGUAAAGGGAAUUCCUGGUGUAGCGGUGAAAUGCGUAGAUAUCAGGAGGAACAUCGGUGGCGUAAGCGCUUUACUGGGCCGUAAUUGACACUGAGGAACGAAAGCCGGGGUAGCAAAUG